GACGAACGCUGGCGGCGUGCUUAACACAUGCAAGUCGAACGGAAAGGCCCUGCUUUUGUGGGGUGCUCGAGUGGCGAACGGGUGAGUAACACGUGAGUAACCUGCCCUUGACUUUGGGAUAACUUCAGGAAACUGGGGCUAAUACCGGAUAGGAGCUCCUGCUGCAUGGUGGGGGUUGGAAAGUUUCGGCGGUUGGGGAUGGACUCGCGGCUUAUCAGCUUGUUGGUGGGGGAGUGGCUUACCAAGGCUUUGACGGGUAGCCGGCCUGAGAGGGUGACCGGCCACCUUGGUACUGAGAUACGGCCCAGACUCCUACGGGAGGCAGCAGUGGGGAAUAUUGCACAAUGGGCGGAAGCCUGAUGCAGCAACGCCGCGUGCGGGAUGACGGCCUUCGGGUUGUAAACCGCUUUCGCCUGUGACGAAGCGUGAGUGACGGUAAUGGGUAAAGAAGCACCGGCUAACUACGUG
rnacentral:rRNA from 1 species